UACGUAGGGGGCUAGCGUUGUCCGGAAUCAUUGGGCGUAAAGAGCUCGUAGGCGGUUUGUCGCGUCUGCCGUGAAAGUCCGGGGCUCAACUCCGGAUCUGCGGUGGGUACGGGCAGACUAGAGUGAUGUAGGGGAGACUGGAAUUCCUGGUGUAGCGGUGAAAUGCGCAGAUAUCAGGAGGAACACCGAUGGCGAAGGCAGGUCUCUGGGCAUUAACUGACGCUGAGGAGCGAAAGCAUGGGGGAGCGAACAGG
rnacentral:rRNA from 1 species